GCCCGUUUAGCUUAGUUGGUAGAGUGCAAGGCUCUUAACUUUGUGAUUGUGUGUUCGAGCCCCACGAUGGGUA
rnacentral:tRNA from 1 species